rnacentral:rRNA from 1 species
UACAGAGGGUGCAAGCGUUAAUCGGAAUUACUGGGCGUAAAGCGUGCGUAGACGGUCACGUAAGUCGGGUGUGAAAGCCCCGGGCUCAACCUGGGAAUGGCAUUCGAGACUGCUCUGCUAGGGUGCGGAAGAGGGGAGCGGAAUUUCCGGUGUAGCGGUGAAAUGCGUAGAUAUCGGAAGGAACACCAGUGGCGAAAGCGGCUCCCUGGUCCAGCACCGACGUUCAGGCACGAAAGCGUGGGGAGCAAACAGG